GGCUCGGUAGCUUAGUUGGUAAAGCGCUCGUCUAGCAUACAAGAGUCCUGGGUUCAAAUCCCAUCCAAGCAC
rnacentral:tRNA from 1 species